AUGCAGUCGCGCGAAGCGAACUAUCAACCGUUACAAUCGUUGUGUGAGGUCCGCGUGGUGUUUGUCUGUUCGAGAUUCAGUGUUCCUGCUUCAUGCUCUGUUUCCUGUUUGGUCGUCUCUGGAUUAAUGCUAUCAGUACGGAUACCUUGCCUUCACCAACUCCACCAACGCACUCAAGGGAAUUGUCAGGUCUUCACCACUUCCAUCAUCGCACUCAAGGGAAUCUACUCACCUGUCUGUGCUGCCACCGAAGUCCCUGCGUCAUUCUCCAAGAGCCAGUCAUCAUCUGUUUUUGUCACGGUUCAUGAAUGCACCGUCUCCUGCUGGUUUGUUGUGACGUCAUGUUAAUUGUUUCAUGUGGGUGUUACCGCUGAUCGGCUGAUCAGCGGCAGGUGCAGCUCGUUACAGCAACCUAUUUAAUGCCCAGUCUUUCGUCUCUUGUUUGUCAGAUCGUUGUGUGAGGUCCGCGUGGUGUUUGUCUGUUCGAGAUUCAGUGUUCCUGCUUCAUGCUCUGUUUCCUGUUUGGUCGUCUCUGGAUUAAUGCUAUCAGUACGGAUACCUUGCCUUCACCAACUCCACCAACGCACUCAAGGGAAUUGUCAGGUCUUCACCACUUCCAUCAUCGCACUCAAGGGAAUCUACUCACCUGUCUGUGCUGCCACCGAAGUCCCUGCGUCAUUCUCCAAGAGCCAGUCAUCAUCACAUAUUCUUAAUAAACCUCAUUAUUACUUGCAGUUGCCUCCUGUCCUUUAUCAUGCCGUGACAGUUUUAUGUUUACAUGGCGCAAUACGCAACGCAAUGCAUAAAAACACAGUAUAAGUCAUUAUAAUCAGUAAUUAUGUCCCCAGUGGAUGCAACAAAUUUCUAGUUUGUAAUGGGUUUUAUUGGAUUUGUCUCGUUGCGCCGGUACACACAGAAACAAAGUAUGGUAAGGUGCGUAACAUUUCCAUCAUACGCUUGAGGUAUUCAGCCAAUCACAACGCACUGGAUAGCUGGCCAACCAGCGUAUACCUUGCUUUUCAGAACGAUGAGCUUUGUAAAAAUUUAUUUUAUUUUAUUUAUUUUUGACAAACAUAAACUUCACUGGGACGUAAGCAGGUCACAAAAAAACAUAAGCACAAGAUUGUAUGAACUAAUACAAAUUAGCCACCAAUUUGCCAAAGCAUGAAAUAGUUACGAAUUGCCAAUAUAUUUUGUUGGUUACUGCUCCUUUUGGUGAAGCUGGUGUACUCUGCUUAUUUCAAAACAAAUUCUUUUUCUAAUGCAAGGGCAUUAAAUAAUUAUAGUGUAUCUCAUUGACACAUCAUUCUAACCUAACUAAAGCCUUCACUCAACACAAUAAUGGCAAUCCACCAUCUAAAGCAGUUUUGCCCCAAGCCCUGAUUCAUUUCUGACCUUUGUGACAAUAAUAGAUAACACACUAUACAUAUAUGCUGGGACAUGCCAGUUAGAAUAAUAGCAUCAACAAUACCCCUGAUUUCUUAUGUUUCAUUUAAAACCACUGUUAAUACUCCUUUCAAUAGUAAAAAGAGACCUUGACCCCAGGCAGUUAUAUGGGUAACACUUUGCCCUAUCUCAUUGCACACUGUUAUUAGAUGAAGCUUGUCAUUCUAGUCUAGAGCUGUGUCUUUCUGCAUCUUAGAAAAUAUAUGUGUUUGUGUACAAGCCACUGCUUAGCAAUCAUUGUAUAAAGAAAUAUGACAUAAAUAUGAACUUUGAAGAAUGAGGCUGUUAAGCUACUAUGGAAGUAUCAUAUCAAAGCUAUAUUUCACAUUACAUUAAUAUAUUUAAGCUGUCAUUCUCUGACAAUAUAGACAUCCAGGAUGUCACACAGCCGGACAGGUUUGGAACAACAUGAGGGAGUAAAUAAGGACAGUUGUUUUUUUUUUUUUUUUAGUUUUAGUCGUACCUUACGGACCGGACGUUAGGGUUAGGUAACAACAUAGGAGGUAAGUAAGUAAGUACUAGUUUGUUUUUUUUUUUUUUUUUAGUUUGUACCUAUUCUUUUUACAUUUUUUGCAUUUAACAGAUGUCCUCUAGAGAUGCAAUGUAGUCUUCCUAGUUGAUCUAAAACUUUACAAUUUUGAAGUUUCUGGCUAAAUAUGUUUCAGCACUGAUUGAAAUGUAAGUAAAAAAUUCUCUCAUUUAUUUUUUUCCCUAUGGAAAGUUACAUUUAAAUUACCUUCCCCAAAAUGAAUAUCUAAAUUAAGCCUCUGAGCCUAAAUAUUCUUCAAAAUAUUAUCAUUGAUAGUUGUCUGCAGCCUUAACUCUUGUGUGGUUUGCUGUUUUGUGUAUAAUGAUGGUCAGGUCCCCUGCAGUGUGAAAGCACAUAGCAACGUCUGCCAGUCAGUUCUAAGAAAUAUCAGCAAUUAGGAAUUAGAACUGACCCAUGCAUUCAAUUUCUACUGCGAACCAGUCCCUGUGUAUACAUUUGUGUACAUAAAUAUUGUAGUUGCAGAUUGCAGCUGCACUAGAUUGUAAUUUAACCUCUGUUAUGCUGUUGUUAGUGAAAGCUAUUUUGCUUGUAAUUUCAGUUGACGUUACUGGGAUGAGCAGAGGACAGGUUAUUUUUGCAAAAUCUCUUGGUGCAUCAAGGUCAGCAAAAAUGGAUGUUUAUGCAUGCUACAGAGUAUUAAGCUCUCAAAAAAAACUGUUGACACUGGUUUUCCAAAGAUGCUUGUAUGUACGAUAUCACUGUUAUAAAGAUCGCCGGUUUACUCUGCUCUGUGUAUUGCAGUGUUCUUCUCCUCGGGGAAGUCGUGGCCUAAUGGUUAGAGAGUCAGAUUUGUAAUCCAAAGGUUGCGAGUUUGAGUCUCGGGCCAGCAGGAAUUGUAGGUGGGGGGAAUGUACAGUGCUCUCUCCACCCUCAAUACCACGACUGAGGUGCCCUUGAGCAAGGCACCAAACCCCCAGCUGCUCCCUGGGCGCCGCAGCAUAAAUGGCUGCCCACUGCUCCGGGUGUGUGUUCUUGGUGUGUGUGUGUUCAUUGCUGUGUGCGUGCACUUUGGAUGGGUUAAAUGCAGAGCACAAAUUCCGAGUAUGAGUCACCAUACUUGGCUGUAUGUCACGUCACUUUCACUUUUCACUUUCUUUAACUCUGCUUUGAAUAGACUGUAAACAAAAGCUAUUUGUCUGCAAAACUGUAAGAGCAAUUUUCAGCACGUCAAAUUGAAAAUCAUUGUGUGAAGCAGAUUUCUCUGAGAAUGAAAAGUGUGUGAUUUGACAGAAAAUCCAUGUAAAGUAUAGAGAGAAAAAAAUCAACACUGUACUUUGACAAAAUCCCACAAAAGAUUAAAAUCUUUAAGACAUUAAGACACUGAAAGGAAGUGGGUUUAUUUUCUUAUACUUAGUCAUGAAUGAUUCUUUAUUUAAAAUGGGCUCUGCAUCAUUUGCAACAUUUAGACAUCAGCACCAAGACAGCCUGGAAGAGAGAGUCUCUUUGAAGGAGAAUCGUGAAAUAAGAAGCACAACAAAGUAGAAUGUUCAAAUAGGAUGAAACUUUUUAACUGAAUGUUAACAGCGAGAGAAGAGAAUGAGUACAUAUGUAAGAAUCACUGUUGAAUUUGUUUCAGAAUUCAAAAAGACCCAAACAUAACAUUGUCAGUCUAAGCUUGUUAUAAUGAUGUUUCUUUAAUCUGCAAUCUUUGGAUCUGUCACUCUCUCUCACCUCUCUCUGAGGUUCUGCCUAUAAUACUUACUAGUUUAAAGGAAUCAAAGAAAAAGGGCAGUACGUUAAAAAAAAGUAGAGGUAGAGGUAGGAAAACAUAAACACCCAUAAUGCACUGGGCUCAAUCAGACAAGCAGGGAUACAACAAUUUUAAAGUAUGACUGUAGUGUUCACAAAAGCACUGCAGCUGUCAAAUUCCACCAGAUGAUCCAUUUUGCUGGCAAAUAAAUGGGGAUAUCUUGGUGCAGGUAACACAGAAAAAUAAUAGCCUACAAAUUGUUUAUUUACGUAUACCACCCGCAUUGUCACAAUACAAAGCUGGUUAUAAAUCGGUGAACUUAACCUUUAAAGUACAUUUCUGGAACUAAACAUUCAGAUUGCUCCAAAUAAAAAGUGAAAUGAACAACCUUUUCUGGUUUCUAGACUUAUUGGGGUCACUUGCAGGUUGACAAUUUUUUACUGUGUACACACCCAUAUUAAGCGUCACCUCUUUCUGUCUCCCUCCAGGGUGAGAGUUGUAAAACAGGGUGAUGGGAGUCCAGGACUCCCUAUUGAUGGGAUUACGGCAUGUCAUGAAGCAGUCAGUUAAACUUCUGCUGCUGGUUCUACUGCUUUGGAUGCUGCUCUUCCUUGCUGUCUUUACCCACCUAACUGACUCCCAGGUAAACCAGCCCCAUAGGACAAGUUCCCCUUUCAACUCUGAAUCUCAACACUCAACCUAUGUUCAGCAUAGUGCCCGGUCCAUCAUGGCAUCCCAUAAUUCCAGCUGGGGUCUGUAUGCAGAGAGGAGGGGUCCUUUCCAGCGCAGGCAAGUGUUUAAACCUCCUCGGGCUAGAGAAGAGUUUCAUUUCAGGAAAUUCUGACAAAACGUCCUAAAAAAAGUAGACUCCUAACAGU
rnacentral:lncRNA from 1 species